CCUACGGGAGGCAGCAGUAGGGAAUAUUGCUCAAUGGGGGAAACCCUGAAGCAGCAACGCCGCGUGGAGGAUGAAGGUUUUCGGAUUGUAAACUCCUUUUGUUAGAGAAGAUAAUGACGGUAUCUAACGAAUAAGCACCGGCUAACUCUGUGCCAGCAGCCGCGGUAAUACGGAGGGUGCAAGCGUUACUCGGAAUCACUGGGCGUAAAGAGCGCGUAGGCGGGAAAGCAAGUCAGAUGUGAAAUCGUAGGGCUUAACCAUAGAACUGCAGUUGAAACUGGUAUUCUAGAGUAUGGGAGAGGUAGGUGGAAUUCGUGGUGUAGGGGUAAAAUGCGUAGAGAUCAAGAAGAAUACUGAUUGCGAAGGCGACCUGCUAGAACAUAACUGACGCUGAUGUGCGAAAGCGUGGGGAGCGAACAGGAUUAGAUACCCCUGUAGUC
rnacentral:rRNA from 1 species